rnacentral:lncRNA from 1 species
CUCUGACCGCCAGGGAACAACCCUCCCUUUGACUGUAAUUUUCCUUUACCUACCCAAAUCCUGUAAAACGGCCCCACCCCUUUCUCCCUUCACUGACUCUCUUUUCGGACUCAGCCUGCCUGCACCCAGGUGAUUAAAAGCUUUUAUUGCUCACACAAAGCCUGUUUGGUGGUCUCUUCACACGGAGGCGCAUGAAAUUUGGUGCCGUGACUCGGAUCAGGGGACUUCCCUUGGGAGAUCAAUCCCCUGUCCUCCUGUUCUUUGCUCGUGAGAAAGAUCCACGUACGACCUCAGGUCCUCAGACCGACCAGCCCAGUAAACAUCUCACCAAUUUAAAAUCCGUUCCUCCUGCAUUCACUUCUUCCUGCCGCCUUGUGAAGAAGGUGCCUUGCCUCCCCUUUGCCUUCCGCCAUGAUUGCAAGUUUCCUGAGGCCUCCCCAGCCAUGCUCAACUGUGAGUCAGUUUUGCCUCUUUCCUGUAUGAAUUACCCAGUCAUAGGUAUUUCUUCAUAGCAGAGUGAGACUGGACUACUACAGCAUAAUACUCUCGUGUUUCUUCUUAUGCUCGAAUUGCAUUCCCUCUGUUAUGACCAUACUUUUUUUUUCCUCACUCAUAAAAGAAAAUAUUAAUAAUUGCUUAUUGCCAACCACCUAAUAUCAUUCAUAUAAUUAUACAGCUUUUUUGUGCCUCACCAUGGUUUUCUCUUCAAUUCUAUAAUUUUCUCAAUUUCUUUGCUCCCUGUCCAAACUUCGGACAUUUUUCCUGCUCUCAUUCCAACCUCAGGCUCUUCACAUUGUGCUCACGUAUCUGAUGCCAAAUUAGAACAGGUAUUUUAAUGGUCGUAAAACUGUGUGUAAUAGCACAAUUAUCUUCUUGCUCAUUCAUAUAAGUGCUCUGUUAACCCACUUAAAUGUUAUGCUUUUGAGCAACAACCAUUCGUUCCUGAUUCCUAUUUCCUAAAGACGGCCAGUUGUACUCUCAAUCCUUGACUAAGAGAAGAGCUUUAUGAAAAUAUUUAUAGCAGAAGAUAUGCAUUUACCAUAUUAUAAGGGUGACCUCUUUGUAAUACACUCUAGGAUCUUUAUCAUGCCAGAGUUGAAUCUGGGGGAAUGAUAGUGUAGAGUUAAAUUUUCUAUGUCUCUCCUUUUGUGAGUCUACAUAGAAAAUAAAAACAAUCAUAUACAUAAGCUUGCUUUUGGAACAAAGACAGAUAUUUAGAUUUGAAACUGUAAUAGAUGCUAUUACAAUGUAGAACAACUAUUUAUUUUUAUCUAGCCAUCUGGUAUCUGAAAGGAUAUUUCUCAGAAGUGUUAAAACACUUUUAUGCUCAAGUAAGUUUGGGCAAUUCUGGGUUAAAGAAAGUUAAACUAGUAACAAGGGUUACUUCAGAACCUUUAAUAUGUUAAUAUGUUUUGCAAAUUACCAAAGAAAUUUCCAUUGCCCUCAUAUUGGUAUUUCUUAAAUGUAUUUCAUAUCAGAAAUUUAUGGCCCUGAUUGUCCCCAGUGCUUGCACCGGAAAUUUCCAUUGCCCUCAUAUUGGUAUUUCUUAAAUGUAUUUCAUAUCAGAAAUUUAUGGCCCUGAUUGUCCCCAGUGCAUGCACCGGAAAAUGCUAUUCUAGGCACUUGCUAAGAAAGCAAAAAUAAUUACUCCUUUUCUCUCUUUUAUGUGAAUGGUCUUAGUUUGUAUGUGAAGAUCAUGUAACUUACGGAUUGAUCAGAAAAACUGAAGACGCAAUGCAAAAAAUCUUUGCCGGGUUCCCAGGGUUAAAGUCACACAAGGCCACAGAACUUCCCUGCCAAGGUCCUGCUUCUGGUACAGCUAUGUGGAUGGCUGCUAUGUUGGAACAAACCUGUUGUCAUCACCCCAUCCUAAGGGCAUCAAAUUGUCUUUCUCUGUCUUGUUUUAGCUCCCCCCGUGUUUUUCUCUAAAUAUCAACGUUAGUACUUUCCCUUUAUAGAAGUUAGCUUAAUAGUCUAAAAUACAGAAACGAAGCCCCUCAAAUGCUAUCUUGAGCUCUUGCCUACACCUCAUUGUUCAACCCUGAAACAUGAAAAAUCUAACCCUCUGAAGAAGCAAGGUAACUCAGAACUCCCUCCUGUGAGGUAAAAACAGAAAAUCACACAGUAGAAUUUCCAGGAGACUAAUUAAUUAAUUAAUAACUUACAAUCUUAUUGAUAAAGCCAUCUCUCUUGGGGGUCAUUAGUAUGGAAUUUGAUAUAUAGAUAUAAUCAUAUCAAGGGAUCAGAAGCUUCCCCAGUUCCCUGGAGAAGAAAAUGUUCGAUUUGUUUGAUUAAUUUGCUGCUCUCAUCGGUUAAGUAUGAAAUUGUUAUUAAGUCUAUAUUAAAAAGAAAACCUUUACAUCAGAAGUCAAACAUACAUUUCUCAGGUUUUUAUUAGUAUGCAGCACAACCUAGCCUCAGAUGAUGUCAUGUUGAUACUUUUUCUAAAAGAAUAAACAAAGCCAUUAAAAUAUGACUGUGUAGCAUUCCUCUUUCAGGCUGGUAAAACAAAGGCUUAGAAAAUCAACUCAUAUAAGACAAUUUUCCCAUAAAUUAGAACUCUUAUUUAUUUAAUUAUUUAUUUACUUCUAAAGUACAAGAAAAGCAUUCCAUAUGAAAGCUGUUCCCACUCACAUUUUCCACUGUUAACAUGAAUAAAUAUUACAUCAUUCAGUGCAUCAACUCAUAAUUGAUAUGAAUAAAGAAAUCUUAAUUAUUUUUUUAAUAGUACACAGCGGUAUUAGAGAAAAUAUCCUGGUCAUUUUGACUCUUACUUCUAUUUAAUUCUUGGUGAAAUAGUUGAACCAUCAUUGAAUAACAAAAAAUGAGAAUAUAAUUUAAAAGCAGUGGGUGGUGUUAGGCACCCAUCAUAUGGCAGUAUUAAUUUUGUCACAGAUGUACAGUAAAAAGUAACAGUACAAGGACUGAAUUUUAAGCUUAGGCUAAUAUAGAAUACCAGGGAUAAUGGCAUUUUACAAAUACGCGCGCACACACACACACACACACACACACACAUUUCCAUAUGUACUAUGGAUCAGAGAAUAUUGAUGGGUAAUUAAUAUAAGUCCAUAAUUGGUUAUAAGACAAGUCUAUGUAUCAAUGUCUUUGCUAAUUUGGUUUUUAUAAGAAGGCAAAAAGGCAGACGGGAGAACAGCUCCCUUCAACUUGGGCCACUUACAGCAGAACUGUCAUGCUCUAUCCAUCUCUGCCCCCAUAGCCCUUUUCACUGUGGUGCACUCCUGACUUCCAACGGGCUGAGAGUUUUCUCACGCAGCCACGGCCUGUGCACCUGAAAACACCACAGGCUGGAAGUACAAGAGAGAUCAUGACCACUUGGGGAAAAGGGGUAUAAGAACCCCAGAUCCCUUAUGCCCCAGAGAAGAUGAUGCUGAUGGCAAACUUUUCUAAGGGUUCUCAGUUUCCCAGUGGGAUUAAGCUACAGCUACCUGUACUGGUAACUGACUUGAUAAUGUGUUAUUAGUUGCCUUUUCUUUUCUAUCUACAUCUCCACUUCCCUGCCAAAUAAAGAACUUGGCCUGGAUUCCUUGUCUCACAGCCAGCUUCCAGGAGAGCCAAAUGAAGGCUGCACUCUGAAUAAACAGCCACCGUGAGAGUCAGUGGAGACAUUCUCUGUCUUGCAUCUAUUUUCAGGCACUCAAGCAGAAAAUAAAGGACCUCAGAAAAGGAACUCCACCCUCCCCCAAAACCCACCAAUCUAAGAUUCCCAAUUAAAAAAAAAAAAGGAUGUAGAAAGGAAAAAUAAGUGAAACUAUCUAAUUUUUACAUUUUGUUCUUCCUGCCCCUUUUAUAGCUUUUAUCUCUGAUAUCUUAAGAUGUAUUUUCUAUGUACAGCCAUUUCAUUGUGUCUCAGUAAAAUAACAUGCCUUUGCCUCUUCCUUCUCAACUCUCUGUUCAUACUUUCCUAGGCCUAUAAACAGACUAUGCUGACAGAGGUCCAUACUUUGUCCCAGGUGUUUGCAAAUGCUUAUUGUGUACGGAUCCACCUCUCCAAGGAAUAAAUAAAAUCAUUAAGCAAUUUCAAUAUUAUCACAGACAUGCCAAAUAGGAAAUCAAGCAGGACAAUUGACUUCCCAACUCAUAUGCUAAAAUGCUCAGUUUCUUAUGUAAAAACUGAAUGUGGCAGUGCUACCUGGUAAAGUUUCCAAUAUAGGUAUACAUUUGAUAUUUCAGAAUACUCUGUGCAAAUUAAGAUGUGAAUUUUCAGUUCAAAGAUAAUGGGGAAAGGAUUCCCUAUUUAAU